UACGGGGGGGCAAGCGGUUGUUCGGAAUUACUGGGCGUAAAGGGCUCGUAGGCGGCCAACUAAGUCGGAUGUGAAAUCCCCAGGCCUCAACCUGGGAACUGCAUCCGAUACUGGAUGGCUUGAAUUCGGGAGAGGGAUGCAGAAUUCCAGGUGUAGCGGUGAAAUGCGUAGAUAUCUGGAGGAAUACCGGUGGCGAAGGCGGCAUCCUGGACCGACAUUGACGCUGAUGAGCGAAAGCUAGGGGAGCAAACGGG
rnacentral:rRNA from 1 species